rnacentral:rRNA from 1 species
UCUGCCUUGGGGUACGGAACAACAGUUAGAAAUGACUGCUAAUACCGUAUGAUGUCUUCGGACCAAAGAUUUAUCGCCCUGAGAUGAGCCCGCGUUGGAUUAGGUAGUUGGUGGGGUAAAGGCCUACCAAGCCGACGAUCCAUAGCUGGUCUGAGAGGAUGAUCAGCCACACUGGGACUGAGACACGGCCCAGACUCCUACGGGAGGCAGCAGUGGGGAAUAUUGGACAAUGGGCGAAAGCCUGAUCCAGCAAUGCCGCGUGAGUGAUGAAGGCCUUAGGGUUGUAAAGCUCUUUUACCCGGGAAGAUAAUGACUGUACCGGGAGAAUAAGCCCCGGCUAACUCCGUGCCAGCAGCCGCGGUAAUACGGAGGGGGCUAGCGUUGUUCGGAAUUACUGGGCGUAAAGCGCACGUAGGCGGCUUUGCAAGUCAGAGGUGAAAGCCCGGGGCUCAACCCCGGAAUUGCCUUUGAGACUGCAGAGCUAGCAGGUGAGAGAGGUGAGUGGAAUUCCGAGUGUAGAGGUGAAAUUCGUAGAUAUUCGGAAGAACACCAGUGGCGAAGGCGGCUCACUGGCUCAUACUGGACGCUG